rfam:Ignicoccus islandicus DSM 13165, complete genome.
CGGCCCGGCCACAGCGACCGGGCAACACCCGGACCCAUAUCGAACCCGGAAGUUAAGCCGGUCGCGCGGGGUUAGGCAGUGGCGUCCGAGAGGCGCCGCAGCCGCCCCGUGCCGGGACCG